rnacentral:rRNA from 1 species
CGUAGGGAGCGAGCGUUGUCCGGAAUUACUGGGUGUAAAGGGAGCGUAGGCGGGGAUGCAAGUUGGGUGUUAAAUCUACCGGCUCAACUGGUAGUCGCACCCAAAACUGCAGCUCUUGAGUGAAGUAGAGGCAGGCGGAAUUCCUAGUGUAGCGGUGAAAUGCGUAGAUAUUAGGAGGAACACCAGUGGCGAAGGCGGCCUGCUGGGCUUUUACUGACGCUGAGGCUCGAAAGUGUGGGGAGCAAA